UGGGGAAUAUUGGACAAUGGGCGAAAGCCUGAUCCAGCCAUGCCGCGUGUGUGAAGAAUGCCUUCUGGUUGUAAAGCACUUUAAGCGAGGAGGAGGCUACUUGGAUUAAUACUCUAGGAUAGUGGACGUUACUCGCAGAAUAAGCACCGGCUAACUCUGUGCCAGCAGCCGCGGUAAUACAGAGGGUGCGAGCGUUAAUCGGAUUUACUGGGCGUAAAGCGUGCGUAGGCGGCUUCUUAAGUCGGAUGUGAAAUCCCUGAGCUUAACUUAGGAAUUGCAUUCGAUACUGGGAAGCUAGAGUAUGGGAGAGGAUGGUAGAAUUCCAGGUGUAGCGGUGAAAUGCGUAGAGAUCUGGAGGAAUACCGAUGGCGAAGGCAGCCAUCUGGCCUAAUACUGACGCUGAGGUACGAAAGCAUGGGGAGCAAACAGG
rnacentral:rRNA from 1 species